AAAAUGUAAGAAUAAUAGAUCACAAGCACAAUAGCUGAACAUCUCUUGUUCUCCCAAACUGUUGACAAGUUCAUCACCCAAAGGGCGGGAUCGCAACCAUUCGUGCUUUGCUGGUACCCAAGCGGCUACAAGGUCUUCAUACAAACUCAUCUCUUUUUUCUUUUCCAGAAGUUCUGAGAUCAUUGAUUGGCUCGAACAGGCAAGUUUUACUAGAUUAAGCCAUGCCUGACCUCUAACUGCUAUUAUCCCAGUAUCAAGCAAUGUUCUACCAUCAUCCAGAAUAGCUUGGUGCCUAACAAGCUCGUCCAAGCAAGGUUUCUGAAGCAGAUUCUCCACCAAGUUGAUGGAAUUAGUAUCAUUUGAAAUCCCAGAUUUUGCUGCAACUAUAACACCAUGAUUGGAAGCAAUGUCCAGCGUAAUAGGGACAGUCACAAUGCAGGAUGCAUCGUUCGGCAUAACCAUAGUUGAGGCAUCAAAACAAGGAAGAACAUCCCCAGUCAUUGUAAGCA
rnacentral:misc_RNA from 1 species